rnacentral:lncRNA from 1 species
UUCAACAAAACCUACAGAAGAAGAAUUGCAUGAUUUUGGUGGAAAAUCACAAAUAAUUUCAUAAAAAUUAUGCUAAAUAUUAAAAAAAAAAACUCAAAAAAAUACACAUGGAUCGUUAUAUAAUUUUUAAAGUGAAAUCCAAUUGUAGAUUCCGCAAAUUUAAAAAUCCAUGUGUAUUUUUCGAGUUUUUUAUUAUUAUAUAUUUCAAAUAUUUAGCAUUAUUAAUAAAAUGUUUGUUCAAUUCCACUAUAAUCACAACUAUAUAUAAGUAUUUUAACAAAUAAAUAUAUAAAACCCAUUGUCGAUAUAUAAAUUAUCAUAAAAAAUUUAAUUUAAUUUUUUAUUGAUAUUAUUAAAUUUGACUUGAUAGAUCUAAUAACUUGUUGACAUGAGAUAUGAUAAGGGCCUAUCAUAUCUAUACGGCUAAUCGCGUUUCAAAUACAAUUAAUUACAAAAAAAAAAAAAAAAAAAACAUUAUUUUUAUAUUUUUGCAUGGCUAAUCACAGUUUAAAAUACAAUUCGUUGCGUACGUGAUUGGCCGCGUAGACAAACUGCUUGAGUACUGACUUUCCAUGAUUCGAUUCCCACAAAAUAGAAAGACAGAGGAUAGCUUAAGAAAGCUUUCUUAUUCCUUCCUAAUGACGAUUGAAUGUUAGUUAAGGAAGCCGUUUUCAAAAGGGUAUCUGACUAGCAGGUUCUACCAACAGUUCCAUUCAAGAAAGCUGGCCCAACUACCCGGAAAAGUUUCUGAUGCCAUAAAUUAAUGAAAGGAAAGCAUGAUGCUUUCUCUUAGAAAAGUAACUAGUUUUCAAACACAAGAAAAGAAAAAAAAAUCUGUAGUGAGUCAAGAUGUCUGAGAAUGGGAUUGGAGAAUCCUUGUUGAAGAAGAACAAGUACCAUGAGGAUUGCCCAGGUUGCAAGAUUGAACAUUUCAAAGAGACGAACACUGGUGUCCCUUUUAAACAUUUGCUCUAUGUCGGGAUUGUUGUCCUUUGUGCAGGUUAAGUAUCAUUCAAAGACUUGGUUCUUGAUUUGUUAGCCCAUUUCCUGCAUAAUUGGCCCACAAGAGGUAUAUAUUAUCCCACCUUGGACUCAUGGCCUCGUGGUAGGUUUCGUUCUUGAAACGCGCCUCUCGGGAAGAGAGGUGGUACCUGGAGAUUUCUUGAAUGGGUUUGCAUUGUGCGUGCACUGUUCAAUUUGUUUCGGAUGAUUGUUCAAUGAAACAGUUUGUUUUGAGACAUUGUUCAGGAAAAUAUUGUUGUUGAUUAGGAAAAAAUAUUUGUUGUACAAAAAGGUCAGGGAUUCACACACAAUAUUGCUGCUAAUGAAGUUUUCAUUUUGUGCAGGUUAAGAGCAGUUGCAAGGGCUGAUGUUUCAUUUAUUGUCACUGAAUUUCUCAUGAAUUAAAUGCUUUGGUUUAAGAUAUUAGAAUUGCCCUCUAAUAUCUGUGUUCUGUGGUUUUGACUUCUGCAGCUUUGCCUAUAUCGUCUCUCUUUCCUUUCCUAUAUUUCAUGGUGAGCAUGUUAUUCUGAAAAAUUAGGCUUACUUGAGAUUUGGGACUGAUGGUUCACGUACCUAUAGCUUGAGGAAUUUUCCCAGUGUUUGUAUUAGCGGCGGCGGGGGGGUUCGGGGUUAUCAGCAGAGUAGCACCUAGUAAAUGGAGCAUUUGAGCUUCAAAUUAAGAAGGGAUGUGGUUUUUAAUGUUGGCUGAUGGCAGGACAUGUAAAUUAACCAGGUUGCUUUUUGGCACGAUAAUCCUUGUUGCUGUUUCGACACACAAAUUAAGUAAAAGUAAAGGCACUAAGGUGCCUUAGGGCCGUGAUCAUGAAAGAUCUCAGUGAUAGUGGAUCUGUCAAUCUGUUCUUCUUUCAUGUUCUUCACUCGUACUUAUGUGGUGAUCUUGCAAAUUUGUUUUCUGCAGAUAAGGGACCUCCACAUUGCAAAAAGAGAGGAGGACAUUGGCUACUAUGCUGGUUAUGUGGGUGAGAGAGUCUUUUACAUAUGACUUGUACUCGGCCUGUUUACAUAAAUAUCUUGUUUGAGCUCCUCAAUUCUCAUUCCACCAUUCAUCCCCCGAAGGAUCUGCUUUUAUGUUUGGAAGAGCUUUAACUUCUGUGCUGUGGGGAAUGAUUGCCGAUCGAUAUGGUCGAAAACCGGUUAUAAUGUUUGGCACAAUAUCAGUGUAAGUGUUGCUGUACAUCUCUUUUAUGUGUAAUUGUUCAAGAGUUCAUCAGUAACAUGUAACCCUAAUUCCCUCUUAUUUCAGGGUUAUUUUCAAUACCCUUUUCGGCUUUAGUACAAACUUUUGGAUGGCAGUUUCUACCAGGUUUCUUCUUGGAAGUUUGUGUGGUAUUCUUGGUCCAAUGAGGGUACUUCUCUUUUGAGAUGUUUUAUUGGCUUACUGUUCCUUACAUCAUUCUCAGUUUUCCUGAAAGCUUCUAUAGGAAACAGUUUCAUUUUCAUGCAAUUCCAAGUUUAAUCAAGUUCUUGCAUCUUAAUGAUGGAAGUGGAGACCAAUUUUGAAGUCAACCUCUGAAACUUCAUCUUUGUAUUGCCUGAACAUGAGCCCUCGGAGAACUCCAUUUUCUUUUAUUUGUGUGCUGCUCGAAGAUUUUUAAGCCGAGGGCCCUCUCUGCCUUGCCUACUGGUGUCCUGUAUGGACUGCUUGUGGGCUAUGUGGUUGAUUUAACAGUUAAACAAUGCCUGCUACUCUUUGGAGGAGGCCAUCUGGCCUUUCUUCCUGUGUUACUUGGAUGUGACGAUUGUUCUUCUGUACCAAUGCUUAACACUGCUGUUGUUUGCACUGCCUUCUGUUGGAAAUUAUUGUGCAUAUUUUGAGUGUCCUCAUUUGACCAGGCAUAUGCUUCAGAAGUUUGCCGUAAAGAAUAUCAAGCUCUGGGAAUGUCCAUUGUAAGAGAGCCUCAACUGUAUAGAUUGUUGAAGAAUACUUGUAGUUUAAUAUGAAAUAUUGAAAGGAAUGUAUUUGUUUCAGAUCAGCACAUCAUGGGGUAUUGGAUUAGUCAUUGGUCCUGCUCUUGGAGGAUUUCUUGCUCAGGUACUUCUUGAUGCACCCUGACAAAUCAAAGACAAUGUUAAAAGAUGAUUUUGACGCAGCGUAUAGCGCUAGAGUUUCUCAAUUCCUGAAUUCUUACAGUUACAGGCUGUGGAGAAAGAAACUAGAGCUAUCAAGUUCUAAUGUUAUUACUCUUAUCGGUAGAUAAAACUUUGAAAAUUUUGAGUUUCUGGAAAAAUCUUAAUUCAUAAAUCUCAUGAAAAAAAACACUAUAUAGAGGUUACAACCGAUCAAACCAAAAGAAUCUAAAUCUAAAUUGAAAAAGUAAUUAAAAUUAAUUAUGAAAAUAAUUUUAACAAUAUCUUCUGUGUCUAAUUUGAAGGUUUUUUAAAAACAAGCGUAUCGAAUUAGAUAUAUAGAAACUCCUCAUUAAAUUUAAGCCUCGAUGAUCGGAUAUGAAAUUAUAGUUGUUAUUGUCAAACUCCAUGCUAGACUUUUUUAUGGACUUUGGCUUGUCUAUCUAGUCCAUAAACACAACCACAUCUUCCACAUCAUAUAUCAGUAUUGAUCGUGAAUUGUAAUGAAAUUUUCUAUGCAUGUGUGUUGCAAGAAUAUUAAAUAAACUUGUACUGAAAUCAUCAAACUAUUUAUCAAAGAGAUGAGAUUUCUCUGUUUAAUUCAAUUAAAUUACUUAUUUAUCAAUUAACCUUGGAAGUGUUGAUGUUGUAGCCCGCACAGAAAUAUCCAAACAUAUUUUCUACCGAUUCUCUUUUCGGAAGGUAAGCAUUAGUGUUUCUAGUUUUCAUAUUUCAUUCCUUAUUGUAACAAUCUUUUGCCUUUCAUUUCUGCUAAACUCUCCUCAACAUGGAUGGCAUUGCAGGUUUCCAUACCUCUUACCUUGCCUUUUGAUAUCAAUCUUUUCUGUGGGAGUAAUUGCCGUUUGUUGCUUGCUUCCGGUAUGUUGCUGUACGAAUUGUUAAACUUGUUUCUCGUCCGAUUCUCCCUGGUUAAAUCAUCGAUAGUUUACUAUUCACUGCUCAGAAGCUUAAGUGUGUUGAUUAGAUAUUCUCAAUACAUAUCUGUGUGUUCUUCUUAUCAGAGCUUCAUAUAGCUUAACAUGGAGCCUGAAAAUUUCUGCAGGAGACACUGCACAGUCAUGUAGGAAAUGGCGAAGAGUGCAAUGAUUCUGUAGCGCUUGGGGCUGCCGCAUUCGAGUCUAACUCUCCUCGGAAAAGCCUACUGAAAAAUUGGCCCUUGAUAUCAUCUAUUAUUGUGUACUGUGUGUUCCAACUUCAUGAUAUGGCCUAUGCAGAGGUAAUAUUCACUAAUAAUACUAAGCUCGUUCACCUUGAGCAUAUUUCCCUUCUGGGGAUUUUUCUUUUCUAAGUAAUUUGUAUUCAUUAACAAACAUGCUUGAUCACAAACUGGUUAUUUUCUGACCACAGAUUUUCUCAUUAUGGGCUGUUAGUCCUAGGAAGAAUGGAGGAUUGAGCUUUUCCACUGCAGAUGUUGGUGAAGUUCUUGCAUUUUCAGGUAGUAGAUACCAGCCAGCAUCAUAUAAUUGAUUAAACAUUUAAAAUUGUGUCCCUUGUCAGGUUAACAAUAUCAAUUCCAGCGUUGUCAGAUGUUAUGCAUGUGAUAUCACUCACUUCAUCACUUUGUGUUUGGUUAGUGUUCAAGAACUGAAGGGGCAUGUAUAAAGAGACAGAAACAUGUUUAGUUGAAGAGAAAUUUCUGUACUCUCGAGACAUGUCCCUGCUAUUUCUGUUUUUUUUUUUUUUAAUCUGAGACAGAAACCGAACGCUAUAGAUGUAGGCUUGUCAUUAGUUGUGACUGUGCAUUAUUGCUUCACUUUCUUUUUCCAUUAAUUUCCUUUUUGUCUUCCAAUCUGCAAGGCCUUGGACUGCUACUCUUUCAGCUAUUUAUAUACCCACUGGUUGAGAGAAAUUUUGGACCUGUCAUGGUAUCUCGCAUAGGAGCAGUAUGUCCUUAACAAACUUUCUGCUUAAAAAUCAUCUUGCAUCUGUAUUUGUUGAAGUCAUGUUUUUUAUAUAAUAUUUUCUUGCUGUUUGUGAAGGUCUUGACCAUUCCAUUGCUAUCUAGUUACCCUUUUCUAGCUAUGCUGAAAGGCCUUGCCCUCAUGCUGCUGAUCAACUGCGCUUCCAUCCUGAAGAACGUACUCGCUGUAAGUGUCUGUGUUUGUGCCAUUAACAUAUUGAUUUUAGAGUGCAAAUUAUACCAUAUUGUCCAAAAGGUUUCGUAAAAGCUUUCACAUUUUUUCACCAAUCACUACCAUUUCUUUUUUACUUGUGUAGGUAUCAAUCACAACAGGAUUGUUCCUUCUGCAAAAUAGAUCAGUGGUAACUUUACCCUUCUUUUGGCUCUAUGUUUCUCUCUUUAUCUUGUAUCUUAGCAACAGGUUAUGGGUAAACAACGGCAUUUUGUAAAAUGCAUUGCUUGAACUUAAUGUCAGACACAACAACAAAGAGGUGCUGCAAAUGGAAUUUCGAUGUCUGCCAUGUCCCUUUUCAAAGCAAUUGGUCCAGCUGCUGGGGGUUCUCUGUAAGUAUCAUCUCGAGCCUCGAUUGAAUGAAUUGGCUAGUUUCGUUACAGUGAGAUUCAAAUUGUUGGUGCACUGUAUUAAUCUAAUCCUAGAAGCUAUGAAACAUGUUUGAAGAGCUUUACAUUUCAUGCACAAAAAAUGAGCUGAACAUGUCCCUCGUCUUACGGCUGAAUUCCUACAUAUGAUCAUCUUGCAUUACAUCAAACAUGUUUGCACUGACAUUUUAAAGUGUCAUUGGAAUGCAUCCAAGGUGCCUUGCUAGCCUAAAAAAAACUUCAGUAUCAUGAACCAAUGCACAACACACUGAGGACUCUUCACAUUCCUUAUUGGUUCAUCCAAACAUUCAAGAACUUCUUCUAGAAUAUUUUGGGUCAACAGGAAAAAUGCUUGACGAGAGUCUAUACUGCAUAGACAAUAAGAUGUUACACUGUAUGUGGAUUUCAUUGCAUAAUUAAGUGUGGAUCAUAAGCCUUUCUACUAAAUUAUAUGUUGUGCUUUAAACAUAUCCAGCAGUAUUUCACAACAGUUGACCGUGCUUUCUAUAUUUACAGCUUCUCUUGGGCACAAAAGCGUCAGGAUGCUUUCUUUUUUCCAGGUAAAGAAGUUAUGCAGGCCCUAUAAAGAAUUCUCAGACUAGUUUUUCGAAGGGAAAGAACAAUUGUUCAGACCACCUAAUUGGAAUUUAUAGAUUGGUAAUAAAUCUGAUUGCCCUUAAUACAGAAACAGCCUCCUAGGCCUAGUCAGGGAAGUUUUAACAUAUAUAUGGAGCCCUAAAAUUGUGAUAGUUGAAGCCUGGUUGCAUAAGAUGAAAGCUUCUGAAUGAUCCUUUGCAAUGCAGGUGAUCAAAUGAUCUUCUUCCUCCUUAACAUGAUCGAGGUCAUAGGACUGCUCUUGACCUUCAAACCAUUUCUAGCCCUUCCUGAUGACAACAUUUCCUAGUUCAAUUUCAAAGGUUCACAUCAACCAACAGAGGCUAAAAAACCAUGAAGAUUGAUUCCAAAUUCUUUCCCGUAGCUAGCCCAAUUCUUCAACUUCAGCCGACCCUCAAGUGUAUCACCUUAUGUAGGAUUUUUGUACCGUUCCCACCUGUAAUCAACCUGAAAACCACAGAAGAGGUGCCUUCAUGCAUAUUUUCUUCUGGCUUGGUAAGGAUCAAGGAUUGGUAACUUACAUCUCUAGCAGCCCUUGUAUUGAUUGAAUUUGUCUGCAUGAGAUGGAUUGUAUAUUUAUUAUUUCCCCGUUUCUUCUAUCUCGAGACAGUAAUCAAAUGUCAUCAUAACUCUUGUGAUAUUAACAGCUAGUAACGUUUUCUUUAUGCAGAUAUAUGACAUCUGCUCUAGUUCCUUCUCUCAUUUUCAAACUUUGGUGGGCUUGUAAAAGAUCUGAAACUACUUCUAGUCUCACAUGAUUAUUAUCAUCCCUCUGGUUACAUAUGCCUGGACAAUGAACUGGCCUCGAGACAAACACCUACUGGAUAUCCUGUCCCAUUCAUAAUUACAAAAUGGAUUGAAGUUCUGCUUCACAUCUCUCACAAGGGCAGCUUGAACAAGAUGUAAUGUCUAGUGUGAUAUAGUGCUGCAACUUCUUGUAGGUUUUGAUUUAGUCCAUGCAGUAAAGUGUUUACAAAAUCAUCCCCAAAGUUUUUAAUUGAAGAAACAUUAAAUGUUAGCUCUGAUAAGUCUCGGGAUGCAGUUUUUAAUGGAUCGCACUCAUUUCAUUUCAGCCUAGCAGGGACUAAGGUGGGCUCCAAGUUAGAUUGUAAGGACUAAAUCAUAUUAUCCAAAAACAAUUGUAUAUAGUUGGCGGGUCCUGCCAAAAAAGAACAAGCUAAACAUUAAAAAAAACAAAAAAAAAACACUUGAAAAACAAGGAUCAGCAUGUUCGAAAAAGAAAAUUAAAAAUGGUAUAAAAAUAAAUUAAUUUUUUUUAAAAUGAUUAUUUGAAUUUAAUUUUGUAGAGAAGAGUUUGAGGUAAAAAGAGGAGGCUAUGAAGGUUGAAUGAGAUAAGUUUUUUAUUGUAAGAUUAAUAUAAAAAAAAAAUGAACUGAAUUCGAUAAUAAAAUAUUUUUUAAAAAACAUAAAUCUAAUUUGUUAUGUUUAAAAACACUAUAGUUAUGCUAUAAAAUAAAGGAAAUGCAGAGAUAAACAGAGAAAAAAAAGCUCAAACAUGGCAAACCCUAGAAGGAAUUCAUACUCAAACAACACAGAGAACUCAUUUCAGCUACAAAACCAUUCAAGAUUAUCAUCUAUAAAGCACUUUUUGAAAAAGCCACUUGCUUUCCCUUUUUUGCUCUCUAUCUUUCUCCUCCUCGCAUGGAUUUCUCUCAGACUCCAACACUCUUCUUCAAGUUUUUCUUCUAGCAAUCUCCAUGAGAGAAAAUGGAGCCAAGAGGAGGAUGAGAAGGCAAAUCUGAUCAGAUUUAAAUCUGGGUUCUUAAGUUCUAAAGAUAAGCGUGGCUGGUUGCUUGACCCUGUGUCUAUUGCUCUUGAAUAUGGCAUUAAAGGUUACACCUUCGGUCUUUUUAGUGUUAUAUGAUUCACUAAGAAUAAUGGGUUUUGAUUGUUUUGAACGAUUUCUUUGUUUAAUAUCAAAAUCAGCUGUUUGCUGGUUGAUAGUCUAAUCUUUGUCCAAUUUGAUAAUGUUAAAUGCUGCGUAAGAUUGAUGUUGUUGAGGUUUAUUUAAAGUAAUUUAUUUUUGUGUUACUUUGUUGCUGAAAGAGGAGGAUUUUGUUGCUGUUGUUGUUGUUACAGGUGGAGCUGUGUCUUGUUUUUCUAUUCAUAUUGGUGAAAUUAGACCUGGUGGUGCAAGGGGAAAUCACAGGCACCAUACUUGCAAUGAGACAUUUGUCAUUUGGGGUGCCAAAACAUUAUUUAGGGUAUGGUUUCUCUUAUCUACAAUGUUAUCUGAUUUAUGGAUGUUGCUGAUGAAAUCAGUAAUAAAUUGUGUAUUGAACCAUGCAUGAAUGGUAAGCUAUGAAUAUGUAGCGUUUAAAUACUUCAGAAAUCUUCCACGUGUCUUUUCAGUCUGCUUUCUUAUGAAAAUGUUGGCGUUUUGUCAAUUAUCUUUAUAACUAGCUGACCGUUUGGCGUCUUGAGCAUGUCUUGGGGUCUCAAAUGUUUUCAUAUGAUCGGUUAAAAUAAAUAAAAUAUUCUAGAAUUGUGUCUAAGAUGUCUAUGUAAAUAAUGCUGCCUUUCUCUCAGCAUGAAAGAAGAUUGGAACUCCAUUGUUUCUGAGUUGCUUUGUUCUUUUCUACCUUUCUUGUGUUGUUGCAGUCUUGUAUUUGAUCAGAUCGUUAAUAGACUGCAUCAGACCUUGACGGGUUUUUAUUUGAUACCUUCCUUUUCAACCUUAUUUGUCAAAUCAAUACGUGGAAUUGCAGAACUCCACUGGUUCAAAUACUAUGUUUCUUUGCCCCAUGAUAAACUCUAACCUGUGCUUUCACCAUGUGAUUCUGCACGUGACGGGUGCACCCAAGUUUAUUGCCUAUGAACCGGAUGCUAACAUGUGUGUGCCGAAGAUGCAUAGAACGAUAAAAUAUCACUUUUUUUAAUGAAAGAUCAUAUCUUCGUACACGGUACUGAUUAAUUGGCAUGAAAGACCAUAUCUUCAUACACGGCACUGAUUAAUUGGCCAACUGAUUGGUUUACUUCUCUAUAAAAGGAGGAGAAAAUAAGUUUUUGAAAAGACUUAGCAUGGAUGUGAAUGCUUGACUGGAGAUGUCUUGGAUACUGUUGAUUUGUCGCUGUGUAUGGUUCCCUUAUUGAGUACAAUUAGAAAAAUCCUGCUUACUGUUGAUUUCUUAUUCUCUCAUGUAUAUCUUCCUUAUAAUUUUCUCCCAACCAUUUGCAGCUGGAGAACAAUCAGAUAGUCGAUAAAGGUUAUGCCGAAGUGAUCGUCGGCGUGGAUGAAGUUGCUGUUGCAGCUAGCCCAAGUGGAACAGGCCAUGCGAUAGUAAAUAUGGAUCGCACACAUACUGCAUACCUUAUAGGGUGCCAAGACAGUACGAUAAACUAUAACAGCUCAGCUACUGAUUUUAGUGUUUGGAAAGAUCUCUAGAGUUGUUCUUUUCAUACAUUCCCCUCUCUGCUGCUCUUCAACAAGCUGAAAUGGAACGUGUUUUCGUUCAUUGUCUAGCAUGUGAUUACAGUCACAGUUUACAUGAGAGGAUGACUUAUAUCUACCUGUAAAUAUAUUUGAUAUAUUUUUUAUGUCAAUGAUACCAUCGUCAAAUACAGUUAUGUGAUUACAUACUGCAUGAUAUCUGGGCAUAGUUAUUAGACUUGCUCCAAGGCUUGGGUUGCUGGUUGGCCAACCCUUGUCUAUCCUAAACAAAAAGUUUUAGAAAACUGAAACAGUGUUGUUAUGGAUAAAAAUUUUAAAAAAAAUCUUUGAAGUUGACAUGAUUAGGUUUUACUAGGGUUUGAUCGGGUUAACUUAGAUUAUAAAUUGAUGGGUUGACCUGUGAAUUACUUGAGUUUGACUUAAACGAGUAAAAAACAAACAUGGUUGGCAAAAACCAUUAUGUGGAGGAACGCAUAGAGAGUUGAUUUUGGCACUCCAUCAAGUUUAACCACUCUCCUUCACUAAUAUUUUUUCCCAAGCUGAUCGUAAUGCCCAUGGAACAGCUGUUGCUACAUGUAUCAAUUUGUUGCUAGUGUAAUUACCCAUUGUGAAGAUGCAGUGCCUGUCUCCUCCACUUCACUCGUGUUACCACCAUCUCCACCAUUUAUCACCACCGUUACAACCCAAAUUUGACGUUGAGCGGUGAUAUGACCCCAAAUUGAUUUUGUGAUCCCGCAAUAGCUUUAAGUGGAGGGUUUGGGUUGAUUGUGGAGCGAUGGUAGAGUGUGGUUUUGGUGGCAGCGGUGGUGGUAGAUCUAUGGAUAAAAAUAUAGAAGACCUUACAAGGUAGCCAGGGGAGGCAGUCGUGGAAGCAAACCCUAUUGCCAUGCCGACCAUCAAUACAAAAUUGAGUUUUUGACGAAAUCUGGAGCUUCUGCUACAAUAAUAUUGUCAUCAACCAACCUUCCCACGCUUGAAAGCUAUGCAGUGUACAAAUUAGAAAUGUUGCUUGCAACAACAUACAAGCAAAAUAUACGUGCAAGGAACUCUUUGUCAAGGCCUAUAUAUGAAACCACAGAACAUACACGCAGCAGCACUAAAGAGAGAAGAAACUGAGAUCUAGCCUUGUUUUUGCACUCUGAUUGCCUGCAAAAUGGAUAUGGGAAAUAAGAGGAUGGCUGUUUUAGUAGGGUGCAACUAUCCAAACACCAGAAAUGAAUUACAUGGAUGCAUCAAUGAUGUGCUGACAAUGAAGGAAGUGCUUGUGAAACGGUUCGGAUUUGAUCUUAGAAGUGUCCAGCUCUUGACUGAUGCACCAGGGUCCGUGGUUCUGCCCACUGGUGCAAAUAUAAAGAAGGCACUUAGUCACAUGAUUGAUCAGGCUGAAGCAGGGGAUGUCCUGUUCUUCCAUUAUAGUGGACAUGGAACAAGGAUCCCAUCCGUCAAACGUGGCCAUCCCUUCAGGCACGAUGAGGCUAUUGUGCCCUGCGAUUUUAAUCUCAUCACCGGUACAUAUCCCCUCUCAUUUUAGAUUACUGUGGACAAUCAUGACAAACGUGACGGUUGUGUGUUUACACAUAUAUGUUAUGCACUUAUGAUUAAGAUAAGACGAUUGUAUCCGUAACAUUAUUUUGAGUACUGAAAGGUUCUUCUAUCACUGUUAUGCAGAUGUGGAUUUCAGACAAUUAGUGAACCGGCUGCCAAAAGGAGCAAGCUUGACAGUCCUUUCCGAUUCUUGCCCAGUGGUGGCCUGAUUGACAAAGAGAAGGAGCAAAUAGGGCCUAAGGCAACAAUCACAACCAAUAAUGCCAAAGUGCCUUCUCAAAGCCCUAAAGUCAUCCCAUUUGAGUCUAUACUACAGCACCUUACAUCUCUAACAAACAUCAACACAUCUGAUAUUGGUACUCACUUGUUAGAGUUUUUUGGAUCUGAUGCCAGCCUUAAGUUCAGGUUACCACCACUUGAAAGGGACCAAUUUGAAUCAAUAAAUCCAGAUGAGGGAAUUUUACUCAGUGGGUGCCAAGCAAAUGAGACUUCUGCUGAUAUGAGCCCAAAUGAGGGUGGUGGAAAAUCCUAUGGAGCAUUUAGCAAUGCAGUACAAAUGGUGUUGAAAGAACAUUUAGGUCAAUUGAGUAACAAACAACUUGUGAUGAUGGCUAGGGAGGUUUUACAGGCACAAGGAUUUGAGCAACAACAUCCUUGCUUGUAUUGCAGUGAUCAGAAUGCUGGUACUACUUUCCUGUGGCAGCCUGAAUGCUAGCUAGCUAGCACAAGUAAUGAGAUCAUGUUCUGGUGGUUGUCUGGACUCUGAUUGUCACUAGCCUUGUGUUUGCUGUAAUAAAAGUGGCAUGUAAUAAAGAGGUUCACGUCCCUGUGCCUCUCCUCGAAACUUUGACAAGCAUUUAUUCUUACAUAAUGUCUUGUGAACAAAAAAUUGAUUUGAUUGACGAGCUUUAAUUUUACCACUCAAAAUCUUCUUCUCAACGUUUGUAUGUUUUUUUUUUUUUAGCUCAUCAAGUGACCUGAUAAGUCUCUGGCAAUACAUAGGUCAGGAGAGCCAUGAAGCGACCUGAUAAGUCUCUGGCAAUACAUAGGUCAGGAGAGCCAUAAAACAUAAAUAUAUCAAACUAAUUAGAAGGAUUUAGGAAGGGUCAGACAUUUAUCCAGCAUGAGUACUGCAAGAGAAUGACAAAAUAAGCUAACAUCGAAAACCCUUUCAUCAUGAUACAACAUUUGACAGUACCGCAGUCACAAAAUGCAUGAAUCCUCUGCAGAACAUGCGAUUCUCAGCUCAGGCAGUGUUGUUUUGUGGUGGGGUGGAAGGGUGGUAAGUUGGUAACUUUUAUAAAAGCAAAAAUAUACAGUAGAGGUGUAGUAGUUAGAAGAUGAGGCACAUUGCCCCGUGCUUGAGGUGGCAGAGAAGUCCUGGCUGAUCUUGAGAAUGAUGUCUCUUGCCUGCUUCAUCACAUUCUCAAAUAAUUAUCUCAACCCAUCAAGUUAAAAUGUUACGGUGGUUAAUUUGGACAACUUGAGUCAUUGAAAUCUCGUGCUAUCUCUUAUAUCUUGUGCAGGAAACAUAUAUAUUUCUGUUUUAAAAUGUUACGGUGGUUAUUUUUUAUUUAAAAAUAUAUUAAAAUAAUAUUUUUUAUUUUUAAAAGUUAUUUUUUAUUUUAAUAUAUCAAAAUGAUCUAAAAAUAUAUAAAAAAUAAUUUUAAAUAAAAAAAUUAAAAUUUAUGCAAUUCUCAUUUAAAAUGCAAAACCAAACAAAAAUAAAUAAAACAAAUUGAAAAAAGCAACCUCACAGUUUUAUUUUAUUUUAUUUUUUCUUCUUUUCUUGAGCUCAUCAGAUUUUGUCAAGGCCUGGCAAUCUGAAAAUCCAGGGACUGUAAAUAAACGAGCCCCCCCACCACACCCCUCAAUCAAAAGGCCUGAGCUCUUCCAAAAGAAACUCACGUGCAUGGCCUUCAUCACUCAGUGGCUUUAAGUUAAGGCAAAACUCCACUUUUUUUUUUUUUCUUGCUCAGAAGAUGCAUCCCUCUCUUAACACAAUCCAACAGAAAAAAAACACGGAUAGAGAAGAAGAUAGAGAAACAUGAAGGGACAAGAUCCCUUGGUCUCGUCAUCUUCCCGGCGAGAAUGCUCUCCGGCGCCACCCGAAAAGAUUCGUUCAAAGAGCAUCGGAUGUAUGUCUGGCAUUUUCCAAUUCGUUUACAAAUACCAUAAUCGCCGUAGAUUCAUCACUUUUGGUACGUUUCUUCUUUGAUUAUGAGCUUUUAGAUUUAUUCACGAAUUACCUAAGUUCAAGCUACUGGGCAGAGAUAGACAAUAACAUUAUUUUUUCAGGGAAAAGGCAUGAAAAGGAUAUUGUGGUUACUUCUCCAAAACCAACGACACCAUCAUCGCAACCUUCUUCUUCUUCUUCUCCGUCAUCUUCUUCCACUUCACUGGAACAAGAAAACAAAGUUCUCCAAAGACUCCCAUGCGAUAUGGCACCAAGAAGCCCAACAUUGCCAACCGGAAUAUUAAGGCGGUCAAGAUCCUUAAACUCCCCUGAAAGUUUCCGGGCUCAACCAGCCCCGGUGGCAAGACUAAUGGGGUUGAGUGAUAUUCCACCAAUGACAACCGCCGAAUUGGCGUUGGCCGAGAAGAGGAGGAGGCUCCUGGGGGCAUUGGAGAAAUGCGAUGAGGACUUGAAAGCAUUAAAGAAAAUAAUUGAUGUAGUAAAGAGUAGUAGUGUGGCUAGUACUGGUGAUGACGACGAUGAUGAGGGAAGAUCAGAGAGAGGUAAUGACCUUCCAUUGUUGCCGCAACCUAGUCCAGUGUCUGUGCUCGAUGAGUUCACUCGUUCGGCUCUCAGUGGAUUCUCCAAACGUUACACCAUUAAUGGUAAGUUUCUGUUCUCUUCCUUGAUUACAAUUUUAUUAUUAAUUGUGUUUGUCUUUUCUUUUGGCUAUAUACUAUAUUAUAUCAUGCAUGUAAAUACCAUAAUUCAAACAAAUAUUGUUUGUUUUAUUUGUUUUUUGGCAUGAUUCUAUUUAAAAACACCAAAAUUCUUCAUGGUUUCUUGUCUUUAUAUUUAUUUUUCUACUUGACCAGAAAUAUAUAGCUCACUUUUUUAUAGCAUGGAGAAUAUUUUGUGUUCUAGUUUUAUACAUUUUUUUCUAAAUUUAUUUUAUUUUUCACAUCUACACAUUAAUUAAAAUCAUUAAAAAAUAUUUAAAAGGUAUUAAUUUGAUAUUUUCUCAACUAAAACAAUAAUUUCAAAAACACUUUAACAUGCAUGCCCAAAAAAACAAACACUCUAGUAAUCUCCUUGUUUUGAAUAGAUUAAUUAGUAAUUAAUCACUAGAUUAAACAAAUUAAUGUCAUGAGUAAUGAAACACAGUCUACUUCCUUGAUCUUUUUGUCUCGUUAACGUUUUCUUUUUGGUAUUUUAGAAAAAGGGAUGAACAAAAAGUACUUUGCGUAAACACAUGCUAAACCUAAUCUCUUGUCAAAUUAUUUCAUGAGUGGGUCUCAUUAUAUUGAUGUUUUUGGCUUUUUUAAAAGUUUUCAAACCUAAUCAAGCACUUUUUUAUUAGCUUCCAUUUCAAGAUAUGGUAGGGCACAUGAGAAUAUAUAGACAUUGAUGUUCUAGAUUUUGUAUGCCUUUCAUCAAUAUUUUCCCAGAACAAAACCAAAUUUAUUAAAUUAGUGUGGUUAAAAUCUCGAUCGAGUGAAUCUAAAAUAAUAUUAUUUUUAAAAGUAAAAUUUGAAAAUCAAAUUAAAUUUUAGCUUUGAAACCCAACUCAAUCAAGUUUCAAGUUAGAGAAUUACCAGGUCGUUGGUGGGACGAAAACGCACUUGGUAACAGUGCACAAAACGUUCAAAAUCUGUAGAUUAACACAAUUGGACUCAUCUUUCUAAAAGCGAGCAUCCUCACAAUACUCAUCACGCCAAAUCUCUGAGAUUUUCACUGACAUUAAAUGAAAAAUCUGUCCCUUUUAGUGCAUGAAUUUCCAGCUAGCUGCAGGGCAAACAUGCAAACCUGUAAAUCCUCACCAACUGAUAAAUCCUGGGUAGUUGGGAAAUCAAUGGGAUAGUGUUCCUAUAUGUAAUUUACAGCAAUUUGUAUGAAAAAGCUCUAGGGAUUCAAUGCAUGGUAUCCCUCGAGGGGAGACACUGGUGGGUUUUCUAUGGAGUGCGCAAGCCCCACAGGCCAUCCGUCUAGGAUUCCAAGUUAACAAUCAUAGCACCAUGUGUUGAGACUAUUAUUACCCUUAUAGUGGGAGACACGAUGCCUGCUAUUUGCAAUUAUAAUAAAACCACAAGAUUUGACUAACAGCUGUGGCAAGCAAUGGUGAGAAAAUCUGGGUGCUUAUCAGGAGUAAGAACUUGAUUUAGUUCUUUCCUUAAUUUGAUCAAUAAAAACUUGAUUACACGCUCUGCCACUAAUCUAUAGGCAGCGGCGGAGCCAGUACAUUUCGUCUGGAAAUUAAAAAAUCCGCCGGCGCCAUGUCACCGACCAGCCAUCCCUUGCCUCCACCCCUGUCUACAGGGGCAAGCUGCUAACAAGUUUAAUAAGAUAAUUAAAGCAAAUAAUCUCAACGGGUCUUGAACUCAUAUAGUUAUCAAACUCUAUUUGAGAUUUAAUCUAUUUAAAAUCUCGGGUCAUAGAUUUAUUGAAUCAAUUUACUAGGUUUAUAUCAUAAUAUAUGAACUUGUUUUGAAUAAUUUUUUUUAAGAAAAACCUGAAAUUACAUUAUAUUAGAAAUAAAAAGUAAUUCCUUGAAGUUGAGCCGUUAAGUUACUAAUUACUUAACUCUAAAUCAAUAAGUCACCGAAUUAAUUUGAUGGGACAUGUCGGUUUUAAUAGCUAUGAUUGUAGUUAGAACCUUUUUUUUUCCCUUGUAUGCAUAUAAUUUGAGAGAAAAUGAAGCCAUUUCUAGCGUAUUUGGUUUUUGAAAAUAUAUUUUAUUUAGAAAUAUAUCUAAAUAAUUUUAUUUUAUUUUUUAAAUUUUAUUUUUAAUAUUGAUACAUAAAACAACCUAAAAUCAUAAAAGAAUAAUUUUAAAUAAAACAAAAUCAAAAUCCAAACAUGUUCUUCGACGCCGUUUGGGAACGCGGUGCAAACCGCGUUCCUAAAAAAAUUAAUUUUUUUUAUUAAAAUUUAAUAUGUUUUGGAUCGUUUUGAUUUGUUGAUGUCAAAAAUAAUUUUUAAAAAAUAAAAAAACAUCAUUGACAUGCAUUUCAACAAGAAAAAUUAUUUGAAAAGCAAUCAUGCACGACACCUUACCUACAUAAUAAAUCACUGUAUUUCCCGACUCUUGUAUGCGUAUUAAGUGAAGGGAGCACUAAUAUUUGUGUUGCAGAACGAGUGCCACAACAACAGACGAAGAAGGAAGGAGGAGGAGAGGACAUCAGCAGCAUUGAUUUCCUUGACAAAAUCAUGACCAAAGAAAAUAUGAUCCAUGGGAAGAGCCAUGAGAGUGUAGUUUCAUCACCUUUAUGGAGCAGCAAAGCCAUGAUAGAAAGUGUGAAUGAGGUGUGCAGGGAUACUGCCUGGGGUGAGAGAAGGGAGAUUGGAAGAACAGGGUUGGCUUUGCAAGAUUAUAUAUUCAGGGACUUGAUUGAAGAGAUUGUUAAAGAAAUGGGAUUUGAUUGCAUUUACCAACUAGGACCUCUACCAUUUGAAUCAUGUAAGAAAAGGCUAAGUUUCUAGUGUACUUGAAUUCAUAUUUCUUGCAUUGACCCAAAAUCCACCUUCAAUUUUUAUUUUUAUUUUUUUUUUAUCUGAAUUUGAUUUUGAUUUUUAUUUUAACAUGCAAGAUGUUUUUAUUUUGUUUAGUAAUGCGGUUCAACUCGUUUUUUUUUAAUAUUUUUUUUUAAAAUGAUUUUUAAAUUUUUUAAUACAUUGAUAUAUAUAUAUUAUUUUAAUAUAUUUUUAAUUAAAAAAUACUUUUAUAAAAACUUUUUACAUCAUAUACUUAAUAUAAACUAUAAUUUUGAUGUUUGUAGGUAUUUGCAUACCAUAUAUUUGUAUUGGCACUCCACUUCCAUCUCCCCCCAGCAUUAAGAUUUUGCAUCCCUCACCUUAUUUUUUUUUUUUUUUUUUUUAAUAUUGAAAAUAUAAAUAUUUAAAAACUUGUUAAUUAUUUAUCACGACAUAUUCUGUAAUUAUGAAAGUUUUGUAACUAGAAAAAAUUAAGUAUAACUUUUUUAAAAAAAUUGUUAUCACUUUAUAGAAUAAAAAAAUAUUUUUAGGUCAUGAAAAACCCAUAUUUAAAUACUUACAAACUAAAAACGUGUAGAAAUUUAUAAUAUUGUAAAUUUUAUUUUAUUAUUUUAAAAAAUUAAGAGUAUUAUAAUUGCAAUUCGUUUACUGACUCAUGAUAUGGUAUAACUAAAAACAUGUUACAUAGAUUUAACAAAGCCAUUCACAAAUUAUAUACUUACUCUGUACUAAAUGUAUCUGCCUUUCAUUGUGCAAAUCCACUGGAAAAGACGGAUGUCUUUUAAUUGUAAUCUUUUUUGUUUUUAUUUUUUUUGUUUUUUUCUUUUCAAUUAUUUUUUUUAUUUAAUUUAGUUUUUUAAUAUUAAACUUUUUUCUAUUUAGUUAUUACAAUCUCAUGACACAAAUAUCAUGUUUAACAAGUUAACCUGAUUUGACAGGUUAACCCAGUUAACUCAAGAUUUGUUUUCUUUUUCUUAAUUAAUUUUUUUCUUUCAAUUACAUCCUUUAAUAUUGAUUUGAUUGAAAAUUAAAUUUUAUAAUUUAUUUUAUUUACUUUUCAUUAGAUUAUCCUAAUCCUAUGAGGGGUUUUAUUGUACCCCUCCUUACAAAAAACUAUUCAUUAGAAUAGUUCUUUGCUUUGUUUUUUUUCUUUUCAAUUAAUAUUUUUUUGUUUAAAUUCAUUCUUUAAUAUUAAAUUUUUUUUCUAUUUAGUUAUCACACUUUCAUUACACAGAUUCCAAGUUUGACAAGUUAACAUUUUUUACUUGGAUUUUUUUUUAUUAUUUUUCUUCCAAUUUCAUCUUUUAAUAUUGAUUUGAUUGAGAAUUAAAUUUCAUGGUUUGUUUUGUUUACUUUUCAUUAGAUUAUCUUGAUCUUAUGACACGAGAAUAAUGCUUAAUGGAUUAACCUGAGUUAACUCGAGUUAUUUUUUGUAUCUUUUAUUUAAUUAAUUAUUUUUUUAAUUUUAUCAUUCAACAUUGGAUCUGUUGGGAAUUGAGCUUCGUAAUCUAUUUUUAACCUAAUUGGCUCAUUUUCUCUCUCUUUUUUAAUUGGCAUUUUCUCUCUAAUUUCAUCAACUAAUAUUGUGUUUACUUUAUAAGUAAGCUUCAUGAUUUGUUUUGAUUUAUUUUUUAUGAGGUUAUCAUGAUCUUAUGACUCGAUAAUAGUGUUUAACGGUUAACUCGGGUUAACUUAGCUUAUUUUUUUGUUAUUUUUUUAAUUAAGAUUUUUUUAAUUUCCUUCAUUCAACAUUAGGUCUAACAUGGAUGAUUGAGAACCGAAUUUUAUAAUUUAUUUUGACUUUCUUUUUUUGGAGUUAUCUCAGUCGUGGAUUUGACAGAUUAACUGGGGUUAAAUCAUGUCAUUUGUUUUCUACAAGGUUAUCUCAGUCUGAUGACCCAGGUCAUGAGUUUGGUGGAUUGACUCAGGUUGUUUUUUAUGUUAUUUUUUUAAUUUUUUUUAAUCUCAUCCUUUAAUAUUGAACUGGUUAGGGAUUGAAAUUUGUAAUUUGUUUCAAUUUAUUUUUCAUUGGGUUAUCUCAGUCUUAUGAUCUGGGUUGCAAGUUUGACAUGUUAACCAGAGUUAUUUUUUUAGGUUCUUUUUUAAUUGACUUUUUUUUUCAAUUUCAUCCUUCAAUAUUGAGUUAAUUGGGAAUCAGGCUUAAUAAUUUAUUUUGAUUUGUUUUCCAUAGGGUUAUCAUAGUCUCAGAAUCAGGGUCAUGAAUUUGACAUGUUAACUCGGGUUGUCCAAGAUCAAUACAAUAUGUUGUUAUUUUAAUAUUAAAAAAAGAUAUCAUCAUGAAAUUUUAUUUAAUUAAAAUUUUUUUUCACAGGUUGUAUAAAUUCUUUUUGGACCAAUAAUGUCAACCAGGUUACAUCGAGUAAACCCUCACACGAUUUAAUUUUUUCUGUUAUAAAAAAAAACAUUAACAAUAUUUGAAUAUAUUUUUUUAUGUUCAAAUUUUUUUUAACUUGACCUACAGUGUAGCACGGGUAAAUCACAUAGUUAUAAUUAAACUUGGUUUGACUUGUAAUUCAAGUUAACAAAAGGCAUGUUACAUAGAUUUGACAAAACCGCUCAGGAAUUAUAGUAAUUACACUCGGUAUGAUUUAUAAUCUAAGUUAUAAGUUACAUAAGUUAAUUCGGGUUAAAUUAAAUUAAUCAAAAUGAUAUAUUUUUUUUAAAUCAAAAUAACAUCAUUUUAUAUAUAAAAAAAAAUUAAAUCAGUUUUGAUUAAUCUUUUUAACACCUAUCUGUUAAAGGAAGUAGAUUGGUCAAGUCUCGAUUCAAUCUGCCAGGACAGGACUAGUUUAAGAAGGUGUUUAAAAUAGUGAUAAAUAUUAUUUUUUUAAAUGAUUUUUUUUAUUUUAUUUUAUAAAAUUUAUUUUUAUUGGUAACUGCGGCCCCGAACAUAAUUGUGAUAGGAAUAGUGACAUGGUGAAGGAGACGUAGAGAUUACGUGGCAGUCACCGCGAGAUUGCAUGAUUCUCCGCGUCCACACCGCGUAAACGCGCACGUCUGCUUUUUGCCAUUUUGAUUCACUAAAAUCGCCAUCAUUCUCACCGAAAAUUACUGUACACCAAUAACUAUUCAUCAAGAAGUCUUUUAAAAUCAAAGAAACCGACGUGGCAUUAUGUGAAUGGGUUAUUCUAAUGAUGGGUGGUAAUUAACUGUAUUGUUAUUGACAGAUCUGUCAACCUCUUUCUUCUCCUUGUGAUUGGCUUUUUUUGACUUGUUUAAUGCUGCUGUACGAUUUUACCCCUGAUGAUUAUUCACUGCAAUUUUUUUUUUAUUUCGAGGGUUUAAUUUUUUCAAAAUUUGCAAUGACCUAAGUACCCUUUUAUUGGUUUCGAAAUUUGGUCUCCCGCAUGCACAGGGCGACUGGAAAACAUUUUUUUUUUCACCAAAAACCCAUAUAGUAUAUAGUAGCGGUGAGAAUUUGAUAUAUAUUAAUAUAAAUUAAUUUAAAAAAUAAGUUUUUUUUUAUAGAUAGUUACCUUACUUAUUGAAUAAUAAAUAAAAUAUAAAUAUUAUCAAACUAUACUCAAAACCCAACCCCAAUCUAAAUUUAAUAUAUAUAUUUUAUUUGUUUAUUGAAUAAUAAAUAAUAAUCAUAAAAUAUAUAUUUAUAUAGGUACUCGAAACUUGUUAAAUAGAGUAUGAAUAUCUAAAUUUCUUACCUAAUAAGUAUUCGAUAGGGUAUACAUAUAAAAAACAUGACCCAUAAAUAUUCAUUGUCAUCUAUACUAGUGAUUGACAUGAGAUUAUUUGGUAGUGAAAUUUAAUUUUUUAAAAAAUAAUAUUAUUUUAUUAAAAAAUACUUAUGUUAACUACACAUGAUUCAUGAUAAAGAUUUUGGACUUGGUCGGGUCUUGUAAUUAUAAAUGAAGCUACAUUGGGUAGUGGCGCUUGCAUAGUAAACCUUGGAAAAAUUCUACAUUUUUAGUCCUAAAGUUCGAAAUAUUUUAAUUAUAUAAUUGAAUUUAAAGUUCAUUUUAUAAGAGAUACAAGUUUAUGAAUUUGUAAAAAAGGAGUUCGGUCGAAGAGAAAAGGAAUAAUUUGCAAAAAUAUUUAUUUUUUUAUUAGUGAUUUGAUCGCAUAAGUUGACAAGAAUUUGGUGGCAACCGAAAGUAGAGGUGAGAUUGAUUGAUAAAGAGCUAGCAAGGGAUGAAUUUCCUUUCCUUGUCAAGUAGGUUUACAAAAUAUGUUGCAAGAAAUUGCGUUGAAAAUAUCUUUCAUGUUUGCCACACUUGUAAAGUGAUGUGUUCUUGAGGAGUCACAAUUCAUUGGAAAAGAGGACAUUAAGUCUAUCAAUGUCAAAGGUUCCUCUCUUGACAAUUACAAAAGAAAAUGAUGAUUGAUAUGAUAGGAAGAUAAUAAUUACAAAUGCAUCACUCCAUAAAAUAAAAUUAAUUUACUCAUAUAUAUUUGAUUUAUCUAAUACAUUAAAUAUGUAAUAUCUCACGUCGACCGGUGAGGAGUUGGUUGCUGGUCUUAUUAGUAGUGCUGAUUACUAACUUGUUAUAUAUGUUUUGGGGCGUCAGGUUCAGAAAUGGACUCGCGUCACUAGGAAUAAAACUGUGAGGACGGUAAGGCUCAAAACAGAUAAUAUAUGACAAGUUGGGUUGAGCUGUUACAAAAUAGUUUUGUUUUCUAUAGUAAACCCCACAUAUAAUUAUAUUUCAAAUCUUAAUUUUAUAGAAAUUAAAAUAACUCGUUUUGUAUUCAUGAAUACCUUUUUUUUUUUUGCAUGAAAAAUCCCAUUAUGUAACCAAACACAUAUUCUUUUAGACAUGCCUUCUAAAAACCACAACUAAGUUUGUCUGCUUGGUAUUGUAAUAAUUUCUGUGGUUACGGUUUUUUUUAAAUAGAUUUAAUAAUAACACAUUUAGUUGUGUUUUUUUUAAUAUGUUUUAAAAAAAUAUGUGCUUGGUUAAAACUACACUGAAAUAAAUUUUUGCAUGUAAAAACCAAGAUUUAAAAUACAAUUAUUUAUGGGGUCCAGUGUAAAAAACAAAAGUUAUUUAGUAAACCAAGCAGUUUUCUUAUGUGGUUGAACAAAAAAUAUUUUUUAAAAAUAUAUUUUUUAAAUCAUUAUAGCAAGUGUUAUUAUAAUAUCAAACACGAACGAAGUUAGAAUACACAAGUUCACAAACAUUGAAAUUUGUAUAAUAAUUUUUUUAAGAUUAUACAUGAAAUUGUGUCAAUAUAAAGAGAUUGAAAGUUAAAGAAGUACAUCAAAUCCCUCUAUUUAUCCACUAAUAUUCAAACUCUAUGGAAAAUCAUGAGAAGCAAAAUCCUCACUAAUCUCUUGAUAUUGGCUUGGAUGACUUAUUUUCAAACACCCCAAAAGGUAAAAUUAUCCAGAAUUAUGUAACAAAAAUGCAACACUUCACGAAUUAUAAAUCCAUGAACACUCGUUAAAAAGAAAACACAAUGAAGGGCAUAAUGGUCAUUUAAGAGGCGAAUCAAUCAUGAAUCCCAGAAAAAAUUAAAAAAAUAGAAUGAAGGAAAAAAUAAGAAGGGCAAGAUUGGAAGUAAAAAGUGAGUUGGAAUUGAUAGGUGGGGCCACAAGAAAGCUAGGGGCGGCUAAAUUAGCUCAUAUAAAAACACGACUCCUUCUCUCUCUCUUACGCGCUCUUUUCUCUAUCUCUCAGAUUUUUUUAUUUCCCUCUAGACUUUUGCCUUUCCUAAAGAGAAAUGGCGGAUCAAUUGACUGAUGACCAGAUCUCCGAGUUCAAGGAAGCUUUCAGUUUGUUCGAUAAGGAUGGUGAUGGUAUGUUUCUUGAUCUGUCUUUCGCUUUGUUUCUUGGGGUGUUUUUGCUUUUGCUCUAUGUUUUUUGCUUGUGUUUUUAGCUUGAUUUGUUUUAGAUCAUGUUGUUUGGGGUAAAAAGAUGGUCUCUUUGAGGGAAAUAUGUGAUUUUGAUUGAUGGGUUCUUCUUGAGAUUUGGAAAUUUGUUCGGCUGAGAUUGGGAAAAUUAGUGUCUUUGGUAAAAGGUAGCUUCUCUUAGUGAAAUUGGUGAAGGGUUCUUUAGAUUUUGAUUGAAAACGUUUCUUAUUUUGACUAUUGAAAAGCAGAUUGUUUUAUUUUGGGCUACCUUUAAUGAUCCAAUCAACAAUGGAAUAUAAUACAUGUAUGAUGUUCGUUAAUUAUAUUGCAGGAUCCAAGGCUUGUGAUUUAGGGAUUUUUUGGUGGUAAAUUAGCAGUAAUCUUUGACUCUUUGCAUCUAAUGAUUGUAACAUGGUGACACGUAGUGAACUUCUUUGCUGAUUAAUGUUUUGCAAAUGGAUGUCUUGUGCCAAAUUAUCAAUUUUUAUGGUUAGCUUAUUGUUGUCUGCCGGGUUUAUUUGUAUUUUAGGUUCUUGAAUGCAUGUGAUUAGUUGUUUCCGAAAUAUGUUGUUUUUAAACUUUACGAGAUGCCUAUGUAAGUGGUAAAUGAGAUUAAGCUUGCUACUAAGAAUAUCUAAACAGAAGGUUCUUUCAGAUCCUACCUUUUGCUGCAUUUGGCUUGUUACAAUUGCAGAAGUAAAUUAUAGUCUGAAAGCGAAGCUUUGAUUAUGUGUGUGCCCAUGAGAGGCACAUGAGACCAUCAAAAACAGUUGGUGAAUUGGUUUUUGAUGUCUUGUGUAUUACAGGUUGCAUCACCACCAAGGAAUUGGGGACUGUCAUGAGAUCGCUAGGACAGAACCCAACUGAGGCAGAACUCCAGGACAUGAUUAACGAGGUUGAUGCUGAUGGAAAUGGUACCAUUGAUUUUCCUGAGUUCCUGAACCUCAUGGCAAGGAAGAUGAAGGAUACCGACUCUGAGGAGGAGCUCAAAGAGGCAUUCAGAGUUUUUGACAAGGAUCAGAAUGGUUUCAUCUCUGCGGCCGAGCUCCGUCAUGUGAUGACUAAUCUCGGUGAGAAGCUUACCGAUGAAGAGGUCGAUGAGAUGAUCAGAGAAGCUGAUGUGGAUGGUGAUGGCCAGAUAAAUUAUGAGGAAUUUGUCAAGGUUAUGAUGGCUAAGUGAUAUCCCUUUCCCCCUGGAAAAAAAUAUUUUUAUAAAUUUAAAUUAGGAGGGGAUAACAGGGUUGACCUAUAUAAUGGAAUUUCUAGUUUCAUUUUCAACUUUUAUUUGAUGGUUUUUUGAAUCAAGGCUCUUAAAGGAAGUGGUGUUGGAGGCUUAUUGUGGUGGUUUUGUUGUAAUGUUCACGCUUCCUUUAAUGUCUUGUGAAACUCAGUUGCCUUUGCC